CAGUGAACAUGGAGGAUCCAGUAGCUAGUGACAUCCUGGUGCAGCGGUUUCGUGCAAUGCUUGCUAAGCAGGGUGUGACUGACUUCAGACUGACCUGGAGGAAGCUUCCAGAGAAGGAGACGCAAAACAAAAGAAAAGGUGAUUCUUGAACCCGUACAAACAACUCCCAGAAAGCUGCAACACAGCGUUUAUUUCUUUGUUUGCAUGUUGUUCUGUAAUUAUAAUUAGCCAGCUUUUAACCCUGCAAUGCCAAAUAUAUCAUGUUUGAUACUCGAGUUUUGAACCACCUGAAAUAUAAAAUGUU